rnacentral:rRNA from 1 species
CAGCCGCCACGGUAAAACGUAGGUGGCAAGCGUUGUCCGGAAUUAUUGGGCGUAAAGGGUGCGUAGGCGGUUUGAUAAGUCUUGUGUGAAAUCUAUGGGCUCAACCCAUAGUCUGCACAGGAAGCUGUCGGGCUUGAGAGUGGGAGAGGCGAGUGGAAUUUCCGGUGUAGCGGUGAAAUGCGUAGAUAUCGGAAGGAACACCUGUGGCGAAAGCGGCUCACUGGACCAUUUCUGACGCUGAUGCACGAAAGCUAGGGGAGCAAACAGGAUUAGAUACCCGGGUAGUCCCUGUCUCUUAUAC